AUUGAACGCUGGCGGCAUGCCUUACACAUGCAAGUCGAACGGCAGCACGGGUGCUUGCACCUGGUGGCGAGUGGCGAACGGGUGAGUAAUACAUCGGAACAUGUCCUGUAGUGGGGGAUAGCCCGGCGAAAGCCGGAUUAAUACCGCAUACGAUCUACGGAUGAAAGCGGGGGACCUUCGGGCCUCGCGCUAUAGGGUUGGCCGAUGGCUGAUUAGCUAGUUGGUGGGGUAAAGGCCUACCAAGGCGACGAUCAGUAGCUGGUCUGAGAGGACGACCAGCCAAGCGGGAACGGAAACACGCCCAAGACUCCGAGGGGAGGCGGAGGGGGGAAUUUUGGAAAAAGGGGCAAAGCCCUGACCCAGAAAGGCGCGUGUUUAGAAGAGGCCCUUGGGUUUGAAAAGAAUUUUGGCCCGAAAAAAAAUCCUGGCCCCAAAUGCGGUCGGGGGAUGAGGGUCCCGAAAAAAAAACCCCCGGCUAACUAGGUG
rnacentral:rRNA from 1 species